rnacentral:rRNA from 1 species
UACGUAGGGGGCAAGCGUUGUUCGGAUUCAUUGGGCGUAAAGGGUGCGUAGGCGGCGCGGUAAGUCGGGUGUGAAAUCUCGGAGCUUAACUCCGAAACUGCAUUCGAAUACUGCCGUGCUUGAGGACUGGAGAGGAGACUGGAAUUUACGGUGUAGCGGUGAAAUGCGUAGAUAUCGUAAGGAAGACCAGUGGCGAAGGCGGGUCUCUGGACAGUUCCUGACGCUGAGGCACGAAGGCCAGGGGAGCAAACGGG